UACGAGGGGGCGAGCGUUGUUCGGAAUUAUUGGGCGUAAAGGGCGCGUAGGCGGUUGGAUAAGUCAUUGUGUGGAAAUCUUCGGGCUCAACUCGAAGUCUGCACGAGAAACUAUCUGGCUUGAGUGUGGGAGAGGUGAGUGGAAUUCCUGGUGUAGCGGUGAAAUGCGUAGAUAUCAGGAGGAACACCUGUGGCGAAAGCGGCUCACUGGACCACAACUGACGCUGAGGCGCGAAAGCUAGGGGAGCAAACAGG
rnacentral:rRNA from 1 species